rnacentral:rRNA from 1 species
UACGUAGGUGGCAAGCGUUGUCCGGAAUUAUUGGGCGUAAAGCGCGCGCAGGUGGUUUCUUAAGUCUGAUGUGAAAGCCCACGGCUCAACCGUGGAGGGUCAUUGGAAACUGGGGAACUUGAGUGCAGAAGAGGAAAGUGGAAUUCCAAGUGUAGCAGUGAAAUGCGUAGAGAUUUGGAGGAACACCAGUGGCGAAGGCGACUUUCUGGUCUGUAACUGACACUGAGGCGCGAAAGCGUGGGGAGCGAACAGG